rnacentral:rRNA from 1 species
GACGAACGCUGGCGGCGUGCUUAACACAUGCAAGUCGAACGGAAAGGCCCUGCUUUUGUGGGGUGCUCGAGUGGCGAACGGGUGAGUAACACGUGAGUAACCUGCCCUUGACUUUGGGAUAACUUCAGGAAACUGGGGCUAAUACCGGAUAGGAGCUCCUGCUGCAUGGUGGGGGUUGGAAAGUUUCGGCGGUUGGGGAUGGACUCGCGGCUUAUCAGCUUGUUGGUGGGGUAGUGGCUUACCAAGGCUUUGACGGGUAGCCGGCCUGAGAGGGUGACAGGCCACAUUGGGACUGAGAUACGGCCCAGACUCCUACGGGAGGCAGCAGUGGGGAAUAUUGCACAAUGGGCGGAAGCCUGAUGCAGCAACGCCGCGUGCGGGAUGACGGCCUUCGGGUUGGAAACCGCGUGCGCCUGUGACGAAGCGUGAGUGACGGUAAUGGGUAAAGAAGCACCGGCUAACUACGUG